GACAGCCACUUUCCUUCAGCAGCGAAGCGAGCGGAACUGCCUGGUCGGGCCGCCGCGCACCGCUCUCGCAACAUCCGGCCUUGCAGGCCGACCCCUGUCUACAGCGCCCUCGGCAGGCAUGGCGGUCUCAUUGCAGCUGGCUAACGGAGAAGGGCAGAAAUGACGUCGGUCGGUUGGGAGCGCCUGAUAUGAGCUGCGCUUGAUCUCUUUCUCCACCUGGUCAGCUGCUUGCCUACACCGUCACCAUCAUAGGAAGCUGCCAUAUACUGAGUCAGACCAUUGGUCUACCGAGCUCAGUAUUGUCUUCAGAGACUGGCAGCGGCUUCUCCAAGGUUGCAGACAGGAAUCUCUCUCAGCCCUAUUUUGGAGAAGCCAGGGAGGGAACUUGGAACCUUCUGCUCUUCCUAGAGCGACCCCUUCAUAUGCAAGCAGGGUGGACCCUGCUUAGCUAAGGGGACAAGUCAUGUUUGCUAAGUUGCUACCACAAGACCAGCCUCCAGUCUCUACUUAACCACGGGUGGAGAGGAGAUCGGCUGGACUGGAGGGAAAAAAUGCAAGCAGUAUAGGGCUGAACUAUGAAUUAUGUGAAACUCCCGGUAUUUUAAUUGUUGCUUAGCAGCAGCAGAGGAAUCCACAUCUGAUCAGAGGAGCAGCAGAGUCCACAUUGUUCUCCUGAUCUAAAUACUCUUCCAUGUACAGCAUUUGAAGAGAGAGUGCACAUUCAGAAGAGGCAUGCAGCACAGCGUUCCCAGAAGUACCACUUCAGAAUUCAGAGCUCUAUCAUGAAAAUUGAAGGAAAGAGAAGAAGAGGAUGACCAGUGGUAAGGUGGAUGGACUUGAUUAUGACAGCAGUGAAAGCACCACUGAGAGACCUUAAAGGCCAAGUUGAAGACAGAUCAUCCUCGAGAAAAUCUAUGUGGUCGCUAAGAGUCAACACCAACUUGACUGCACUUAAUCAACCAACCAAUCAAUCAAUCAUGAUCUAGUGGAUAACCUCCAGACUACUGUAAUGUACAUGGAUCUGCCUUUGAAAAGGGUUUAGAAUUUCAGAAUGCUGCCACCUGGUUAGUAGUGAGGUCAAAUGCAAGGGAUGCAUAUUACAUCUAUUUUUGCCAGUUCUAUUUUCUAGGACAUUCUGAUUCCAGGCUCAGUUCAAAGUGGUGGGAUUCAUCUUGAUCUUUAUAUCUCCUAACAACUGGGGGUCUAGCUACCUUAAGGACCACCUAUUCCCAUAGCAUCUGGUGCAGCUACUGAGAUCUGCCCUGAGGCCUUGCUCUUUAUUGUACCACUGGUAGAGAAUUGUUUGGCAGGUACUAGGGAAAGUUUUCUUGAUGAUGCUCUUACAGUUCUAGUUCCUUUCCUAGAAAGAUCCUUCCAAAAGGGCCACUUCACUUGCUGUUUUAAAAAAGAAUCAAUGAAAUGUUUCUGUUUUGCAAAGUCUUCUCCAUUUAAAUUAUACUGUUAGGUAUUUAUGCUUUUAGUUGCUGGUUUCUAAAUGUAUUGCUUGCUGUUGUUUUUAAUGAUACUGUUUUAUAGUGAUCUUGUUUUUACAUUUUAACUGUAAUCCACUUUUUAUUUUAAUGAUAAGUGGACAAACAUUCAUUAAAUAAAAGAAAUACAUGAGCCA